GGAGAGGGAGGAGGGGAAGCAGAGGGGACGAUGAGGUGCGGAGGCGUUGGCAGUUGACUUUUGCUGAUGGAGCCUCUCUGAAGGGCAAAUUCAAAGUACAGCUGGGUGCUGCAGCACUGGAGUGCGAACUUGUGGCUGUGGUUAUGAAGGAGCCUCGUCAGCUAUGCCUUUAGCCCCUGGUGAAGCAGUGCCAGUCACACUUUGCCAGUCAAACGGAGAGGCAGCAGUAGUAAGACCAGACCAAAUCAAACCAAACCAAGCAAACCACGGGGAAUGGAGGUCAUGUGAGCACACAGCAUAAAGGCAGCUGCCCACAAGCCAGGAAGAGAAGCAUCAUCAGAAACCGACCAUACUGGCUUCCUGAUCUCAGACUUUCAGCCUCCAGAAUGGACCUGAUGAUUGAUUUAGCAUCUUUGGCAUCCGGCCACUGCUCUGCUUGGCCAUACUGCUGCCUUCACCCUCAGCUGUUGCAACUCUUUUGGCCACUUUGUGUAACUGCCCUGCCAAGCCCUGCUUCCUGGCUGUCCAAAGAAAGAAGUGUUUCCUACAGGAGAUCACAACAAAAGGAUGAAAUCUGGGGUGCAGGGGAAGGGUAGCUUCUGAAGCUGGAAAAUAAAGAAGUAAGGAAGGGAGACUGUGGAAUUUACCAGGGAGGGAAACUAAUAUUUCCUUUCAUAUAAGUUGGUACUAUUCUGGCUUUUUACCAUGAUCAUAUAUUAUAUUCAAAAUAAAGCUCUUGUUUUUGAAACAAAAAAAUAUAAACAAAGGAAGGAAGGAUGUUCAUUUAUUUAGAUAAUAGAUACCUAGUGAACCCCUAGUAGACCUUGUACUGGGUCCUGGGGACACUGGUGACCAGGUUCCAUUCCUGAUCUCCUGGAGCAGGGGACACGAAAAGACAUUAAGCAAAUAAUUACACAUCUUUUUACAUCAGUACAAAUGUUGGGACUUUGCAAGAGUUCCACCCUGAAAGCUUCUGUUUUCACUGAAAGAGAGGAGGCAAGGUCAUUUGUUCAUAAAAGCAAUGGAAUUGAGUAGGGGACUUGAAAGAAAUGAUGAGGCUAGGAAAAGCAGCUAUAGGAAAGGGGGCACCAGUCAGACUAAGAAUAUGUAACCAGAGCACAGCUGUGCAUACUUUGCUUGAAUGUCUCCAAGUUCAAAUCCAAGAACUUGAUAUUUUAGGUUGAUUCUAUGUGUAACCUAUUUGUUUUUAAAGAGUAGAGUCUUUUUCUUCCAGCAUGUGUUAGUUAGCCCUGUCUUUAUCACAUCACCACCACCAAUUGUCAUUUGCAGAAGUAUCUUCAACUCAUCAUAAAUUUACUAGUAAUAGCUAACUCAUGUCUAUAGAACUGUUAAGUGACAAGAUAAUAUUUAGAUUAAAAGCUAUAGUUGCAUUCUUAUUAGAGACUUAAUCAGAUUUUAACAUGCUCCUCACAGGGGCCAUUUAGCCCUAUUCUGCUGGGCUUUGGCAAGCACUGAAUGAUUGCCCUCCUAGGGCAGAGGUACUGCAGCCCUGGUUAAGCAUUGAAAAGAUGAUAUUACCAAUAAGUUGACUCUAAUUGUAAACAACAUAUUUAAACAAUUACAUCUUAAUUAAAUUCUUAUAAAUUAUAAGUGCCUCAGAACUUUCUUUCUUAAUCUCAAAUGCAUGUUUCUUAAAAUCAUUCACUAUUUUAUGAGAAUAUAUUUGCUGAAUAUUAGAAAAAAGAGUUAAAAAUAAAAGGCAUUUCUAAAAUUUUUUCUUGUAUGAAAUAUGCUUUCUUUUAUUUAUAAAUCAUUGGUUUUAUCUUCUAUAUAGUGAAUUUCUAAAGGGAUUUAAUGUUUGAUAUUGAAUUGUAUACUAAAAUAAGGUUGUUUUAGACAUAAAAGAGUAACAGCAACAAUAACAAAGAAGUUGUGACAAAGAGGAUUGUUGUACUGAGAUUUGAUGGAUAACUUUGAUUCAUUUGUUUUAUGUGUAUCUUGCCUACAUCUGUCCAUUCAUCUCACCAUUUCUAUCAACUAUCUACCUGGUGCAGUUUGAUAUGUUAUAAGCUGUGAGAAGUGAGACAAGGAAAGAACUUUUUGCUGAAUUUUUUAGAACAUCUGUGAUGUGUUGUACAUAUUAGGCAAAUAAUAAAUACUUACUGAAUUAAAUUAAAUUUAACCAGGAUCAAGUUCAGAUGGCUUACGGUUGAGAUACAUGUUGCUAUGGCAGCAGGAAGAAAAUGAUGGAAAAGAAGAAAACAAAAAGCAAGAAAAAGUGAGAAAUCAAAGGACAACAUUUUCAAGGAUGAAGAGUGCUACAUCUAUUCAUUAUAC
ensembl:lncRNA SLC38A4-AS1 SLC38A4 antisense RNA 1